GGAUGGGAUCAUACCAGCACUAAAGCACCGGAUCCCAUCAGAACUUUGAAGUUAAGCGUGCUUGGGCGAGAGUAGUACUAGGAUGGGUGACCUCCUAGGAAGUCCUCGUGUUGCAUUCC
rnacentral:rRNA from 2 species